GCAAAGAAACAGCACUAACAAAGUUUAGACCCAUAAAUUUUGAAGGUCUAGCUACCAUAUUAUUACCCACAAGGGUAAAGGAACAGUACCACUGCUGGAUAAUUGGAAAGUCCCUGUGUGUCAACCUCUGUGCUUCGUGGCAAGGUAGACUAGCAAACAUGCCCAACCUUUACUCACAUUCGAGAAAACACUCCCAAUAAGAUUGCUUGCUCCAAAAUCGAAGAGGCACCGUCCUCCGAAUCUCGAGAGCCAGACUCCCAACAUGACUACUUUCUUAAAAAUCGAAGAGAGGGUAAAGGAACAGUACCAUUGCUGGAUAAUUGGAAAGUCCCUGUGUGUCAACCUCUGUGCUUCGUGGCAAGGUAGACUAGCAAACAUGCCCAACCUUUACUCACAUUCGAGAAAACACUCCCAACAAGAUUGCUUGCUCCAAAAUCGAAGAGGCACCGCCCUCCGAAUCUCGAGAGCCAGACUCCCAACAUGAUUACUUUCUCAAAAAUCGAAGAGACACUGCUCCCCGAAUCUCGAGAGCCAGACCCCCAGCAUGAUUGCUUUCUCAAAAAUCGAUGAGGCAUCGUUCUCCGAAUCAAUCGAAGAGGCGCUCGCUUUCUCAAAAGCUGGGCUGCUCAGAGACCACGAGGGCCGAUCUCAGAAAUCGAAGAGGCACCUACUUUUCUAGCCUUGUCAGCACCUGUCACACGCACACUCAGCUUUGCAGAAAUUAUGGGCAUUCUGUCGAAGACUUCUGGUGAAGUAGAAAAGCACAUGAAUCUUACUGUUCAAUCACCCACUUCCCACACGCAACAAUAGCUCAUGGGUACCACAGAUAACUUUGCCAAAGUUCUCUGCCAAAGUUGAGCACGUGAAGCUUGCAGCUCCCACUACAUCGCUCUGACCAAGAAAGGUAAAAGAAUAGCAAAGAAACAGCACUAACAAAGUUUAGACACAUAAAUUUUGAAGGUCUAGCUACCAUAUUAUUACCCACAAGGGUAAAGGAAUAGUACCACUGCUGGAUAAUUAGAAAGUCCCUGUGUGUCAACCUCUGUGCUUCGUGGCAAGGUAGACUAGCAAACAUGCCCAACCUUUACUCACAUCCGAGAAAACACUCCCAACAAGAUUGCUUACUCCAAAAUCGAAGAGGCACCGCCCUCCGAAUCUCGAGAGCCAGACUCCCAACAUGAUUACUUUCUCAAAAAUCGAAGAGACACUGCUCCCCGAAUCUCGAGAGCCAGA
rnacentral:lncRNA from 1 species